AGCGGCGGAUGGGUGAGUAACACGUGGGGAACCUGCCCCUAAGUCUGGGAUACCAUUUGGAAACAGGUGCUAAUACCGGAUAAUAAAGCAGAUCGCAUGAUCAGCUUUUGAAAGGCGGCGUAAGCUGUCGCUAAGGGAUGGCCCCGCGGUGCAUUAGCUAGUUGGUAAGGUAACGGCUUACCAAGGCGACGAUGCAUAGCCGAGUUGAGAGACUGAUCGGCCACAUUGGGACUGAGACACGGCCCAAACUCCUACGGGAGGCAGCAGUAGGGAAUCUUCCACAAUGGACGCAAGUCUGAUGGAGCAACGCCGCGCGAGUGAAGAAGGUUUUCGGAUCGUAAAGCUCUGUUGUUGGUGAAGAAGGAUAGAGGUAGUAACUGGCCUUUAUUUGACGGUAAUCAACCAGAAAGUCACGGCUAACUACGUGCCAGCAGCCGCGGUAAUACGUAGGUGGUAAGCGUUGUCCGGAUUUAUUGGGCGUAAAGCGAGCGCAGGCAGAAAAAUAAGUCUAAUGUGAAAGCCCUCGGCUUAACCGAGGAACUGCAUCGGAAACUGUUUUUCUUGAGUGCAGAAGAGGAGAGUGGAACUCCAUGUGUAGCGGUGGAAUGCGUAGAUAUAUGGAAGAACACCAGUGGCGAAGGCGGCUCUCUGGUCUGCAACUGACGCUGAGGCUCGAAAGCAUGGGUAGCGAACAGGAUUAGAUACCCUGGUAGUCCAUGCCGUAAACGAUGAGUGCUAAGUGU
rnacentral:rRNA from 1 species